GGGCGAUUAGCUCAGUUGGGAGAGCACCGCCCUUACAAGGCGGGGGUCACUGGUUCAAGCCCAGUAUCGCCCA
rfam:Psychromonas ingrahamii 37, complete genome.